GACGAACCACACAAACGUUAUUCGGAAUUACUGGGCUUAAAGGGUGCGUAGGUGGCGCGGAAAGUUGGGUGUGAAAUCCCUCGGCUCAACCGAGGAACUGCGCCCAAAACUACCGUGCUUGAGGGAGAUAGAGGUGAGCGGAACUUAGGGUGGAGCGGUGAAAUGCGUUGAUAUCCUAAGGAACACCCGUGGCGAAAGCGGCUCACUGGGUCUUCUCUGACGCUGAGGCACGAAAGCUAGGGUAGCGAACGGG
rnacentral:rRNA from 1 species